rnacentral:rRNA from 1 species
CGUGCCAGCAGCCGCGGUAAUACGGAGGGUGCAAGCGUUAAUCGGAAUUACUGGGCGUAAAGCGCGCGUAGGCGGCUUGAUAAGCCGGUUGUGAAAGCCCCGGGCUCAACCUGGGAACGGCAUCCGGAACUGUCAGGCUAGAGUGCAGGAGAGGAAGGUAGAAUUCCCGGUGUAGCGGUGAAAUGCGUAGAGAUCGGGAGGAAUACCAGUGGCGAAGGCGGCCUUCUGGACUGACACUGACGCUGAGGUGCGAAAGCGUGGGUAGCAAACAGGAUUAGAUACCCUGGUAGUCCACGCCGUAAACGAUGUCGACUAGCCGUUGGGGUCCUCGAGACCUUUGUGGCGCAGUUAACGCGAUAAGUCGACCGCCUGGGGAGUACGGCCGCAAGGUUAAAACUCAAAUGAAUUGACGGGGGCCCGCACAAGCGGUGGAGCAUGUGGUUUAAUUCGAUGCAACGCGAAGAACCUUACCUACUCUUGACAUCGAGCGAACUUUCCAGAGAUGGAUUGGUGCCUUCGGGAACGCUCAGACAGGUGCUGCAUGGCCGUCGUCAGCUCGUGUUGUGAAAUGUUGGGUUAAGUCCCGUAACGAGCGCAACCCUUGUCCCUAUUUGCCAGCGAUUCGGUCGGGAACUCUAGGGAGACUGCCGGUGACAAACCGGAGGAAGGUGGGGACGACGUCAGGUCAUCAUGGCCCUUACGAGUAGGGCUACACACGUGCUACAAUGGCCGGUACAAUGGGCUGCAAUCCCGCGAGGGGGAGCUAAUCUCAUAAAGCCGGUCUCAGUCCGGAUCGGAGUCUGCAACUCGACUCCGUGAAGUCGGAAUCGCUAGUAAUCGUGCAUCAGAAUGGCACGGUGAAUACGUUCCCGGGCCUUGUACACACCGCCCGUCACACCAUGGGAGUGGACUGCACCAGAAGUGGUUAGCCUAACUUCGGAGGGCGAUCA